GUCUUUGUGGUGUAGUGGUCAGCACGCUCGACUUGUAUUCGAGAGGUUCGAAUUCCGGCGAAGGCA
rnacentral:tRNA from 1 species